rnacentral:rRNA from 1 species
AAACUUUCAACAACGGAUCUCUUGGUUCUCGCAUCGAUGAAGAGCGCAGCGAAAUGCGAUACCUAGUGUGAAUUGCAGCCAUCGUGAAUCAUCGAGUUCUUGAACGCACAUUGCGCCCGUCGGCAUUCCGGCGGGCAUGCCUGUCUGAGCGUCGUU